rnacentral:rRNA from 1 species
UACGUAGGUGGCAAGCGUUAUCCGGAAUUAUUGGGCGUAAAGCGCGCGCAGGUGGUUUCUUAAGUCUGAUGUGAAAGCCCACGGCUCAACCGUGGAGGGUCAUUGGAAACUGGGAGACUUGAGUGCAGAAGAGGAGACUGGAAUUCCUGGUGUAGCGGUGAAAUGCGCAGAUAUCGGGAAGAACACCCGUGGCGAAGGCGGUUCUCUGGGACGGUACUGACGCUGAGACGCGAAAGCGUGGGGAGCGAACAGG